AGCAGCCGCGGUAAUUCCAGCUCCAAUAGCGUAUAUUAAAGUUGUUGCAGUUAAAAGCUCGUAGUUGAAUUUCGGGAUCAGUUGGUCGGUCGUGCCUCGGUACGUACUGGUCAAAUUGAUUCCUACCUUCUGACGAACCACGAUGUCAUUAAUUUGGUGUCGCGGGAAAUCAGGACUGUUACUUUGAAAAAUUAGAGUGUUUAAAGCAGGCUCGCGCUUGAAUACAUUAGCAUGGAAUAAUGAAAUAGGACGUUUGAUUCUAUUUUGUUGGUUUCUAGGAUCGACGUAAUGAUUAAUAGGGAUAGUUGGGGGCAUUAGUAUUCAAUUGUCAGAGGUGAAAUUCUUGGAUUUAUUGAAGACUAACUACUGCGAAAGCAUUUGCCAAGGAUGUUUUCAUUAAUCAAGAACGAAAGUUAGGGAUCGAAGACGAUCAGAUACCGUCGUAGUCUUAACCAUAAACUAUGCCGACUAGGGAUCGGAUGAUGUUAAUUUUUUAAUGUACUCAUUCGGCGCCUUAACC
rnacentral:misc_RNA from 1 species